CACAAAGCUGUUUCCCUGGCUCCUGGCUCUUUGCUUGUAUCAAACAAGCCGCCUCUACUCUUGGUUUAAGGAACCACUUAAUCAUGAAAGAGAGCAUGCAAAGGGAAAUAUUCAUUAUAUUUAAUGUCCAAGCCUACUUUCCAUAAUUACAUGGAAAAGAGCAAGAGUAUCCAGAGUCACUUUGUGCCUGCAGGAUUUUUCAGAGCAGGUAUUUGCUUCAUCUGAUGGAAAGCGGCUGCUCACUGAUCUCCACUGAACUCCUGCAUGACCAGGACCCUCACACGUUUGUAGAGUAGCAGAUCCGGACUUCACCAGAUAAAAUGAGCUGGCACAAAGGGAAGAAGGAACUCACAGAAGAAAGCACAGGAGAUGGGAAGCACGGCCGAAAAAAGCGAGACCGGCUGUUUAAGAAGAGAUUUUCUCGACUGAGCCUCUUCUCUGGGUCUCCUAAGACUAAAUUCCCUCAGGGAAGAAGCCAGCUUUCUGAAGACAAGCGGAGGAGUUUACACAGGAAAGGUUCCAAGAGGCUGAAGCCAGCGCGGGAGGAAAUGUGUUCCCUGAGGCAGCCGCACUCCGGGAAGAUGUGUCCGAAAUGCGAGAUCCUCCUGUGCCGGAAAUGCGGCACCCUGCACUCGCAGAGCGGCUUCAUCGCCCACAGCCUGCUCGACCACUACGACACGGGAGGGGUCGCAGCCCUGCUCUGGUGA
rnacentral:lncRNA from 1 species